rnacentral:rRNA from 1 species
UACGAAGGGUCCAAGCGUUAUCCGGAUUUAUUGGGUUUAAAGGGUGCGUAGGUGGGCAAGUAAGUCAGUGGUGAAAUCUCCGGGCUUAACCCGGAAACUGCCAUUGAUACUAUUUGUCUUGAAUACUGUGGAGGUCAGCGGAAUAUGUCAUGUAGCGGUGAAAUGCUUAGAUAUGACAUAGAACACCAAUUGCGAAGGCAGCUGGCUAGACAUAUAUUGACACUGAGGCACGAAAGCGUGGGGAUCAAACAGG